rnacentral:rRNA from 1 species
CUACGGGGGGCUCCAGUGAGGAAUAUUGCACAAUGGAGGAAACUCUGAUGCAGCAACGCCGCGUGGAGGAUGACGCAUUUCGGUGUGUAAACUCCUUUUAUAUGUCAAGAAAAUGACGGUAGCAUAUGAAUAAGCUCCGGCUAACUCCGUGCCAGCAGCCGCGGUAAUACGGAGGGAGCAAGCGUUACUCGGAAUCACUGGGCGUAAAGGACGCGUAGGCGGGUUGGAAAGUCAGGUGUGAAGUCCUACAGCUUAACUGUAGAACUGCACUUGAAACUUCUAAUCUAGAGUAUGGGAGGGGGAGAUGGAAUUAGUGGUGUAGGGGUAAAAUCCGUAGAUAUCACUAGGAAUACCUAAAGCGAAGGCGAUCUCCUGGAACAUUACUGACGCUAAGGCGUGAAAGCGUGGGGAGCAAACAGGAUUAGAUACCCGUGUAGUC